GCUCAGUCUCUGAAGGGAGGGUAUCAUGCUUUGCUUCAGCAUGUCACCGUAUCUGUUGGCUUUCAUGGUUUCCUCAAUGAACUGUAGCUCCCUAGUGCCGGUAGCACUCAUGUAGGCCCAGACCAUGACACUCCCACCACCAUACUUGACUGUAGGAAAGACACACUUGUCUUUGUACUCCUCACCUGGUUGCCGCCACACAUGCUUGAC